GCCAGGCUAGAAGAGCAGUGCCAGCUCCACACCACUGCUAUGGGGCUGGGCUGGAGUCAUGCUUCAUGCUUUGGGCUGAAGCAAGAACUGAGCUUCCUGGUGUUGUGGAGCAAAGGAAUCAAGAGAAAUGAAUGUGAAAAGAACUGAUCUCAGGAGGAAUUGUCAGAGCAUUUUGGGAAAGAGAAUCUCUUUGAAUAAAUAUGGAAAAGGGCAGAAGAGAAAGGAUGGAGGAUAAGCUUCAUGAAGAUUAUGCAGUUAGAAGGAGGUUCAUGAAUCCAAAUUCUUCCGGUAAGCAUAAUCACAGUGAUAAAUUCACUUGGUUUGUACAGACCUGAGAUAGCAGACCUGAAAUUCCUGACUGGCCUGAGGUCUCUAAGACU